GCCGGGCGUGGUGGCACAUGCCUGUAAUCCCAGCUACUCAGGAGGCUGGGGCAGGAGAAUUGCUUGAACCCAGGAGGUGGAGGUUGCAGUGAGCCGAGAUUGCGCCACUGCACUGCAGCCUGGGUGACAGAGCAAGACUCUGUCUCAA
rnacentral:SRP_RNA from 1 species